rnacentral:rRNA from 1 species
CGGGGGGAACGCGAAGAACCCUUACCAGGGUUUGACAUGUCGCGAAUCCUCUUGAAAGGGAGGAGUGCCUACGGGAGCGCGAACACAGGUGGUGCAUGGGCUGUCGUCAGCUCGUGUCGUGAGAUGUUGGGUUAAGGUCCCGCAACGAGCCGUCCAACAUGGGCAAGUUGGGCACUCUAGAGAGACUGCCGGUGACAACCGGAGGAAGGUGUGGAUGACGUCAAGUCAGCAUUGCCCCUUACAUCCUGGGCUACACACGUACUACAAUGCGGUUACUGACAAAGGGCAGCGAGCUAGCGAUAGCAAGCUAAUCCCAUAAACCGGGCUCAGUUCAGAUUGCAGGCUGCAACUUGCGAUCCCGAAGGAGGAAUCG